rnacentral:rRNA from 1 species
CCUACGGGAGGCAGCAGUGAGGAAUAUUGGUCAAUGGUCGGGAGACUGAACCAGCCAAGCCGCGUGAGGGAUGAAGGUACAGAGUAUCGUAAACCUCUUUUGUCAGGGAACAAAGGCGGGGACGUGUCCCCGGAUGAGUGUACCUGAAGAAAAAGCAUCGGCUAACUCCGUGCCAGCAGCCGCGGUAAUACGGAGGAUGCGAGCGUUAUCCGGAUUUAUUGGGUUUAAAGGGUGCGCAGGCGGUCUGUUAAGUCAGCGGUCAAAGCCCGGGGCUCAACCCCGGCCCGCCGUUGAAACUGGCAGGCUCGAGUUGGAGAGAAGUAUGCGGAAUGCGCGGUGUAGCGGUGAAAUGCAGAGAUAGCGCGCAGAACUCCGAGUGCGAAGGCAGCAUGCCGGCUCCACACUGACGCUGAGGCACGAAAGCGUGGGUAUCGAACAGGAUUAGAUACCCUGGUAGUC